AGUGAACGCUGGCGGUAGGCCUAACACAUGCAAGUCGAACGGCAGCACAGUAAGAGCUUGCUCUUACGGGUGGCGAGUGGCGGACGGGUGAGGAAUACAUCGGAAUCUACUUUUUCGUGGGGGAUAACGUAGGGAAACUUACGCUAAUACCGCAUACGACCUACGGGUGAAAGCAGGGGAUCUUCGGACCUUGCGCGAUUGAAUGAGCCGAUGUCGGAUUAGCUAGUUGGCGGGGUAAAGGCCCACCAAGGCGACGAUCCGUAGCUGGUCUGAGAGGAUGAUCAGCCACACUGGAACUGAGACACGGUCCAGACUCCUAAGGGAGGCAGCAGUGGGGAAUAGUGGACAAUGGGCGCAAGCAUGAUCCAGCCAUACCGAGUGGGUGAAGAAGGCCUUCGGGUUGUAAAGCCCUUUUGUUGGGAAAGAAAAGCAGCAGGUUAAUACCCCGCUGUUCUGACGGUACCCAAAGAAUAAGCACCGGCUAACUUCGUG
rnacentral:rRNA from 1 species